GUUGUAUAGUCAAGUAAUUAAGUGCAUGUGGUGGAUGCCUUGGCAGUCAGAGGCGAUGAAAGACGUGAUAGCCUGCGAAAAGCUCCGGGGAGGCGGCAAAUAUCCUUUGAUCCGGAGAUUUCUGAAUGGGGGAACCCACCUACUUUAAGGUAGGUAUUGCAACAUGAAUACAUAGUGUUGCAAGGCGAACGAGGGGAAGUGAAACAUCUCAGUACCCUUAGGAAAAGAAAUCAAUUGAGAUUCCCUCAGUAGCGGCGAGCGAACGGGGAUCAGCCCAUUAAGUUAUGUGUGUUUUAGUGGAACGCUCUGGGAAGUGCGAACGUAGAGGGUGAUAUUCCCGUACACAAAAGGGCACACAUAAUGAUGACGAGUAGGGCGAGGCACGUGAAACCUUGUCUGAAUAUGGGGGGACCAUCCUCCAAGGCUAAAUACUCCUGACUGACCGAUAGUGAACCAGUACCGUGAGGGA
rnacentral:rRNA from 1 species